rnacentral:rRNA from 1 species
UGGUAGUGUAUUGGACUACCAUGGCUUUCACGGGUAACGGAGGAUUAGGGUUCGAUUCCGGAGAGGGAGCCUGAGAAACGGCUACCACAUCUAAGGAAGGCAGCAGGCGCGUAAAUUACCCAAUCCUGACUCAGGGAGGUAGUGACAAGAAAUAACGGACCGAAGCCUAUGUUUCGGGAUUGCAAUGAGUAGAAUUUAAACCCCUUUACGAGGAUCAAUUGGAGGGCAAGUCUGGUGCCAGCAGCCGCGGUAAUUCCAGCUCCAAUAGCGUAUAUUAAAGUUGUUGCAGUUAAAAAGCUCGUAGUUGGAUUUCUGGGAGGGUGCCAAUGUCGUCUUGUUGAUUGUGCAGCGGCGCCCUUCCAUCCUUCUGUUAACGUUUCUGAUAUUUAUUUAUUGGUCUCGGGCUCAGAUAUUUUACCUUGAGAAAAUUAGAGUGUUCCAGGCAGGCUCGCGCCGGAAUACAUUAGCAUGGAAUAAUAGAAUAGGACUUUAGUCUCCUUUGUUGGUUUGAGGGACUGAAGUAAUGAUUAAUAGGGAUAGUUGGGGGCAUUAGUAUUUAAUUGUCAGAGGUGAAAUUCUCGGAUUUGUUAAAGACUAACUUAUGCGAAAGCAUUUGCCAAGGAUGUUUUCAUUAAUCAAGAACGAAAGUUAGGGGAUCAAAGACGAUCAGA